GGGGAGCACUGCCAACACAGGUGGGAGAUGCUGAGUCCCAUCCUCACGGGUCAAAUGUGCUCCAGCUCCUUCCUGAGGCAUCUGAGCCACCUCCUCCAGCCACGUUUCUUCCAUACCCUGCACCCACCCUGCUCCCAGGCAGCAGUGUCUCCGGUGGCUGUGCUGGCUGGGUGUUGCCCUGGACAGACCCGAGCUGAUUCCCAGCAGGAGCAGCUUGUCCUCCAGCAAAAUGGCAAAAGCCAGAUCCUCUUCCCUCCUCUUCUGCCAGCAGGUUGGCAGCUGAUGAUUGCAGAAGGAGGAGAGGAACCAUCUGCUCUAAACCAAAUGUCAGUGCCAGGAACAUAGAGCUGGUCACGUCUGGAUGGCCUGGGUUUAGUCCCAGUCUGUGCUGGGGCAGGCAGUUGGGUGCUCCCUGGGGAGGGACCUUUGCUGGCAGUAAGCACAGAGCAGAUCUGGAUGGGCUGCAGGCCAUUCUUGCCCUCUCCACCUGGGCACUGUCCCUUUGCUGUGCAGAAAAUGUUGGCUGGAAGUUGUUGGUUUGAGAGCUCCUGCCGUGGUGUUCCUCCCACAGUGCUGAUGGGGUCAGUUCUGCUCUCUUCUCCCCACUUGCCUUGGCCAAACUAUUAAAACCAAGCAGGACUUAGUGUCCUGUGGAGGUCCUCACCUGGGGAGCUGCUGUGGUGCUGCUCCCCAGAGAGGCCCAGGGCUGUGCAGCCACCACCACCUCAGCCAGCUUUCAGAGAGCAGCCCCAGCGCUGCAGGCUCACAGUAAGGUCCUGGGGGGAUUCCGUGGGCAGGAAAUCCACUGCUCAGAGUCAAACUCAGGGCAGUCACACACAACAGUUGACACCGACCCCCAGCAGGGCUCUUCUGGGGCACAGCAGGGCUGAUCUCAGACGCUCUGUGGAGGCCAUCAGAGGGCUGGGCACGUUUCCCUCGGGCAGCUGUGCCAGUUCCCCACCCUGCUCCCCACCUGAGCAGCCACUCAGCAGAGCCCGGACUGUGCCUGCACCGUGCUGGGCUGCAGGCUGGUAAGGCAAGGGAUUCCCAGCUGUGGUGAUCACUUCAAGGCAUUCCAGGCUUUGGUGAUCACUUUUCCCCUGGAUCACGGAGUGGGAAUGACCCACACGGAGGCUGCUGUGCUGGAGCUGCCUGCUGGCUGCCUGGGCUGAGCCAGUGACCUGCUGACCCAGCCCUGGCCCUCAGGGAAAGCUGCUGCCCUAGGGGGGGCCCAGCCCUGAUUCCCAUCUCUGCAAGGGUUUGUUAUGCAAAAAAAACUCAAUUCAGGAGUGGCGGCUGCGAGCAUCUCCCCUGUCCCCCAGGAGACAGGGCCAGGGCUGCUGGCCAUGGCACAGCCCUUGGCAUGGGCAUGGCUCCUGAGAGCAUGAAGGUGCUCUGUCCUUGGGAUUAAGGCAGCCCCCAAUAGGGGUGGCACUAGAGCCCCUCUGCCUACAGCAGCCUAGGGAAGGUGUCACCAGCCUGAAGGUGUUUGCUGCAGGAGGGACGGAGAUGGCAGCAAAGGUGAGCCCCGGACUGCAGCAGCCCUGAGCUGCCUGCCUGCUGUGUGCCCUUUGCAAAGCUCCUGGAAAGGGACUCUGCCCACCCCUCUGCAGCAAAGCCCAGCAGCAUUUGCUGUGCCCAGGUCUGUAGCAUGGAGGCAGAUUUGCUGUGCCCAGGUCUGUAGCAUGGGGGAGGUUUGCUGUGCCCAGGUCUGUAGCAUGGAGGCAGAUUUGCUGUGCCCAGGUCUGUAGCAUGGGGGAGGUUUGCUGUGCCCAGGUCUGUAGCAUGGAGGCAGAUUUGCUGGGCCCAGGUCUGUAGCAUGGGGGAGGUUUGCUGUGCCCAGGUCUGUAGCAUGGAGGCAGAUUUGCUGCACCCAGGUCUGUAGCAUGGGGAAGGAUUUGCCAUGCCCAGGUCUGUAGCAUGGAGGCAGACUUGCCGUGCCCAGGUCUGUAGCAUGGGGGAGGAUUUGCUGUGUCCAGCAGGGAGGAGCAGCAAAUGCUUUGGGCUUGUGGGAGCAUCAGGGCAGGAGCUGCUAACACCCCCCCCCCUCCUCUCCCCGGAGCAGGGCGGGGCCUGAAGGGGCUUUGCUGCCUGCUUGUCACAUCCCAAUCGUUUCUGCAGGGCAGGGGCUGGGGCAGGGAGCAGGGCAGGGCUGGAGAAGUUGCUUGUAAAUAGAUUUUGUCUUCCACCCUCCCCAGGUGCCCGGGACGGCCGUGCAGCUCAGUUCCCCCCCCUUACACAGAUCAAAUGCUAAUGAGUGCCCCUUGGUUGGUUUGCUUGGGUUUGGGUUUUCCCCCCCCUCCCCCACUUGGAAUGAUAAAUGUGAAAUUAGGACAUGGGAAGACAUUGGGGAGAGGCUUCAAUGAUUUUUUCCUCCCCCCCCCCCCCUUUUCUUUUUUCCCUCCCAUUUAAUUCUGUAAUAGAAAUUUGUUACUUCAUUCCUGUGCAUAACUUAUUUAAUGUUACUGUAUAAAGGACACACCCCCCCCCCCCCCCAGUACAGAUGUAUUUAGUUUGUUCUACUCCAAAGUAGUCAAUAAAAAGACUCUAUUCAGCA